UACGAAGGGUGCAAGCGUUAAUCGGAAUUACUGGGCGUAAAGCGCGCGUAGGUGGUUUGAUAAGUUGGAUGUGAAAGCCCUGGGCUCAACCUGGGAACUGCAUCCAAAACUGUUUGACUAGAGUACGGUAGAGGGUGGUGGAAUUUCCUGUGUAGCGGUGAAAUGCGUAGAUAUAGGAAGGAACACCAGUGGCGAAGGCGGCUACCUGGACAGGUACUGACGCUGAAGCGCGAAAGCUAGGGGAGCAAACAGG
rnacentral:rRNA from 1 species